CUAAAGGCUGCAAAACCUUCAGCCUGAUGAUGAAAAUUUGCUCCAUUGGACAAAGAGUGCCUGAGAAGUUCAUGGAAAAAUAAGCCUAUUUUGCAUUGCCACUGCUUGACAGAGUGCAUUAUACAGUGAAAAAUGAGCACCAAUUCAGAAUAAUAAAGGACUAUCAGAGCUGAACUACAUUACCUUCAUCGCAGGAUAUAAAUUACAUGAAAUAUCUCCAUGACACUCCAAAUCAUUUCCACUGGAUGAAUGAAAUAUAUAUGGUGCCGCAUAAAAGAUUAAUUUUUUGUGUUUUGUCAUAUGUCUAUGCUUCCUUUUUUCAAACUUUUCCUGUAUUUUCUAUUAAUCGGGUUUUCAUUUGAAACGGGAAAAAUGACAAGUUUUGCUGGCACCCAUGCAACAAAGUGUUAUUUCAUGGCGAUAUUUGUCCACAUUUAACAAAUCAUGCACGGUGGAUUUCAAUAUAAAUUGGUCAGCAGGAUUUCAUCUGCACAAGGUGCCCUGGAAGUCAUUUAUACUUACCUACUUAAUACUAUACUAUGUUAUUAGCACUAUAAAUGCACACUUAUUUUUAGAUCAUGAAAUCAGUAAUGACCUCUCUUCUGUUUUUGUAUUGGAUUAGGAAGGUAUUUUCUAUCUUAGAAUACAUGACACUCAUAGAACAAUUAAUCCCUUCCAAUAGCGAGUUAGACAAAUCACCAAGCAAGUUACUUGCAAAACUAUUACAGUGAAUGUUACUAUGAACAAAUGUUAUUUACAUCAUGGAGAAUCUACCCUGUUCUGAAAAGUUAAUUUCAAAAUCUAAAAUCUUGUUAAAUCUGAGUGGAAUAAUCUUUGGUUUUACCUUCUCCAGUAGACAUGGAGAUUUUAUGAGCCAGCUAUGUAAUAGAAGAAGGAGCAAGCUAUGCAGUAGUUGGAGGAAUCUAUUGUUAAUAGUCAUAACUUGCAGUUCAUUUUGGAAUAUUUUCAGUAAUUAAUAUUUUGUGGUAGAAAAUUAUGAAGACAUAGCAGAUCAGCCAAUUCAGCAAAAUUAAAAGUUGUGUAUUUGUUAGUGUGUUUUACAACACAGAUCUUUUAGAGGUAGUGCUAAAUAAUACCAAGUUAAAGUUCAGCAUUCAUAAAUUACUAAUGCACAUGGAGCAAAAAAUAUAAUAAUUGAAAACAUGCAUAUUCAUUGCUAUGCCAUCUUAAAAUAUUUUGAAUGUUGACUAUUGAAUGCUUUUCAUUACCAGAAAUCACUUCAGAAAACAAGUUAUUUUCUUGCAUUUUAUGCCAAAAAUAAGCAUUCAUCAGGAUUGCAUAUUUUAAGUAAACAGUUGGUAGACAUCUAGGAAGACAUAAUAAAUCCAGUUGCUAUUUUACAUUAAUCCCACUGCAAAAUAAUACUUGGUUCCUUUCCUCAGCUUUCUAUUUUCCAAUUAACUUGCACAGACAAAUAACCUUCAGGAGUCUGAAGAAAGGUCCUGAUCUGAAACUUCACCUGUCCGUGCCCUCCAGUGAUGCUGUCUGACCCUUUGAGUUGCUUCAGCACUUUAUGGAUUAAAUAACCUAGUUCCUUUGUCAAUACUUUAUGGCACAACCAGAUGGGUUUUUUUGAAAGGCCAAUGCAUAAUUGUCUUAGCCUUGAAAAGAAUGCCUAAUUUUUACUUUACCAUUUCCUAAGCUAAAGAUGAAAAUGUUGUCUAUGAGGGACAGUAGACACAUAUAGUGUCAAUCUGCUGAUAUACCUGUAACGGUUAUUCGAUAUGCUGAACAAUUAAAGAUUAGAUUCAUGCUA